AACGUAGGAGACGAACGUUAUCCGGAGUUACUGGGCGUAAAGGGCGUGUAGGCGGUUUGUUAAGUCUGGCGUGAAAGCUCUCGGCUAAACCGGGAGAGGUCGUUGGAUACUGGCGAACUAGAGGAUGGUAGAGGCGUGUGGAAUUCCGGGUGUAGUGGUGAAAUGCGUAGAGAUCCGGAGGAACACCAGUGGCGAAGGCGACACGCUGGGCCAUACCUGACGCUAAAGCGCGACAGCAUGGGGGAGCAAACGGG
rnacentral:rRNA from 1 species